rnacentral:rRNA from 1 species
UACGAAGGGGGCUAGCGUUGUUCGGAAUCACUGGGCGUAAAGGGCGCGUAGGCGGUUCUCCAAGUCAGUGGUGAAAGCCCGGAGCUCAACUCCGGAACUGCCAUUGAAACUGUUGAACUUGAGGACGAGAGAGGUGAGUGGAAUUCCCAGUGUAGAGGUGAAAUUCGUAGAUAUUGGGAAGAACACCAGUGGCGAAGGCGGCUCACUGGCUCGUAUCUGACGCUCAGGCGCGAUAGCGUGGGGAUCAAACAGG